UUUAUGUGUAAAGUAAAACCCCUGGUUUCAAUUCUAUGGGUAAGUGAAAUAGGCCUUUUCUGGAAACCUAUGGGUUAUCUAGUGUGUAAAUACAGUAUAAAUACUGGAGCUUAAGCUCAGGGUAUUGGGGAUCACUUUUGAGAAUUCUCAUCGGUGUGGAUCUCGUGUGGUGGAAUGGAACAAUAAAGCUGGACCCUUGCUUCUUCUCACUCACGGCUGGUGUGUUUUUUCUAUCUCCAACUGGGCUCAGAGGUAGAUGUGAGUAUUGGCUUCUAAGUUGAGUUUUAAAAGUUUUUGGGUAAUAGGCUAAAUUCGAGCCAACAUUUGGCACCCCAGAUGGGACUGGGCUAAGAUCUAUAUGUCUGGAAUCUCUCCCGUGGGACUUCGCUCUCUAAGCAACAGACAGGCCGUAUAGGAAAAGGCAUUGCAGACGCCUGUUAUUUCAAAGCUCUGUUUUAGUGGUCUGUUGUUACGAUGGAGAAGCCCCGGGGUGGGAAGAAAGACUAAGUGGGUCUCCAAAAGAACCUGGAGUGAGUGAGAAGAGGUAAGAGAAGUAUAGAUUGUAGAAUGUACUUUUUAUAAUUAUAAUAAAGAAAUGGUAUAUGUGUUGUGUGAGUGAAAGUCCUGCAAUACCGCUGGAGGAAGGGAAAAAAGGUAGAAAAAAGAGAAAUAGAGAAAUACUCCAGGGCUGGGAUAGAAAGCAGGUGGAAAAUGAGGCCUCAGACCCCAGAUACCGGCUACUAGACUAGACUAGCAGUCUAGUGGCGGCUGCAUUGGUGGGGACCCCUAAUACCGCUGGAAAAGGAUUAGAUAAAAGAUAGAUAGAUUAGAUUCCAGGGCUGGAUAGAGAGGGGAAUAAAUCCUGGGCCUAGGUCCGGGUCGUGCAAUACAGCAUGCCCGGUGUAUGAAUGGAAUAUGUACUAACAAAUGUGUGUGCUUAAAAUAUAUGUGCUUAUAAUAUGUAUAAUAUGAGUGUGGUGUGAGAGCGUGUAAGUUUUGGAGACAGGGAAAAUGUAUUUAUUAGUGCUCUGAACAUGAGCUCCAUACCUAAAGUAUUGGAUAAGUGGGAUAAGAUUCAGAGAAAAUAAUUUUUUUUGGAGAAAGUUGGAUUUAAUUUGUAUGACUGUAAGCUUCAUGCAUACGGAGCUGGUUUGGAGGUGCUUUAUACUUUGAAAACUUCAUGUAGUAAAAUAAGUGUAAUAAUGUGGAAUACAAUGUGUGUAUGUGAGCUUGCCUGCGUUGUUGAUAGAAAGGGGGGGUGUAUGUGUGUGUGUUCCUGUCCGUUCUUAUCUGUGCGUCUGUGUGGAAGGACAAGGGGGAAAAAAAAAAAAAAAAAAGGGGAAAAAGGGAUAGGUCUGGCAUACCCUGAUUUGUGUUGGAUACAAUUUGUGCUGAUACUAAACGUAUUUCGGUAGAUGCUCUACCUCUUGCACUAAUGACCUAUCACAUGCAGACUAACAGCAAUAUGUAUCUAACACCGCAUGAAAUGCUUAUGGGUCGACCCAUGUCUGUGUCUGUUCCUUAUGAUGGACGGCCGCUGGAGUAAUUGCAGAUGAAUCGGAAAACAUAUAUAAGACCACUAACUAUUAUGUAUGGAGCUAUAUAUUCACAGGAACACAGCUAAGUGCAGUGUUAUCAGUGUUAUGUGUGAGGCGACACCGCCUCAACGGGGGGAGGUGUUCGGAGGUGUUCGGAGGUGUUCGGAGGUGUUCAGAGGUGUUCACCCGGAGGUGGGAGUCCCGGAGCCGCGAGAGAAGACUGACUACAGGGCAGCAGCGGACUAGAAGCAGCGGACUAGAACAUGCAACCCCUGGAGGAUGCUCAAUCUGUUUUCAAACAUUGGAACGCAUAUGAAAUAGUGACUGAACCGUGGCCCAUUAAGACUAAAGGUUAACCAGCAGUCACUUCCAAGGUUUGUCCAAAAAGUCACUAUAUAGGUUGCUAGUUGCUUUUUUUGAAAGAAAAAAAGGUUGCUAAAGGUGUCUGAAAAGUGGACCGGAGCUGUUUUUGUGAAUAUGAGUGAGUGAAUAGCGGGACAAAGGGGAGGGGCUGCAGCAGGGAGUUAUAUUUUGAGUGAAAAGAUUGUUUUCGUGUUCUAUCGGAAAUAAA
ensembl:lncRNA